GACGAACGCUGGCGGCGUGCUUAACACAUGCAAGUCGAACGGAAAGGCCCUGCUUUUGUGGGGUGCUCGAGUGGCGAACGGGUGAGUAACACGUGAGUAACCUGCCCUUGACUUUGGGAUAACUUCAGGAAACUGGGGCUAAUACCGGAUAGGAGCUCCUGCUGCAUGGUGGGGGUUGGAAAGUUUCGGCGGUUGGGGAUGGACUCGCGGCUUAUCAGCUUGUUGGUGGGGUAGUGGCUUACCAAGGCUUUGACGGGUAGCCGGCCUGAGAGGGUGACCGGCCACAUUGGGACUGAGAUACGGCCCAGACUCCUACGGGAGGCAGCAGUGGGGAAUAUUGCACAAUGGGCGGAAGCCUGAUGCAGCAACGCCGCGUGCGGGAUGACGGCCUUCGGGUUGUAAACCGCUUUCGCCUGUGACGAAGCGUGAGUGACGGUAAUGGGUAAAGAAGCACCGGCUAACUACGUGCCAGCAGCCGCGGUGAUACGUAGGGUGCGAGCGUUGUCCGGAUUUAUUGGGCGUAAAGGGCUCGUAGGUGGUUGAUCGCGUCGGAAGUGUAAUCUUGGGGCUUAACCCUGAGCGUGCUUUCGAUGCGGGUUGACUUGAGGAAGGUAGGGGAGAAUGGAAUUCCUGGUGGAGCGGUGGAAUGCGCAGAUAUCAGGAGGAACACCAGUGGCGAAGGCGGUUCUCUGGGCCUUUCUUGACGCUGAGGAGCGAAAGCGUGGGGAGCGAACAGGCUUAGAUACCCUGGUAGUCCACGCUGUAAACGGUGGGUACUAGGUGUGGGGUCCAUUCCACGGGUUCCGUGCCGUAGCUAACGCUUUAAGUACCCCGCCUGGGGAGUACGGCCGCAAGGCUAAAACUCAAAGGAAUUGACGGGGCCCCGCACAAGCGGCGGAGCAUGCGGAUUAAUUCGAUGCAACGCGUAGAACCUUACCUGGGUUUGACAUGGAUCGGGAGUGCUCAGAGAUGGGUGUGCCUCUUUUGGGGUCGGUUCACAGGUGGUGCAUGGCUGUCGUCAGCUCGUGUCGUGAGAUGUUGGGUUAAGUCCCGCAACGAGCGCAACCCUUGUUCACUGUUGCCAGCACGUUAUGGUGGGGACUCAGUGGAGACCGCCGGGGUCAACUCGGAGGAAGGUGGGGAUGACGUCAAGUCAUCAUGCCCCUUAUGUCCAGGGCUUCACGCAUGCUACAAUGGCUGGUACAGAGAGUGGCGAGCCUGUGAGGGUGAGCGAAUCUCGGAAAGCCGGUCUCAGUUCGGAUUGGGGUCUGCAACUCGACCUCAUGAAGUCGGAGUCGCUAGUAAUCGCAGAUCAGCAACGCUGCGGUGAAUACGUUCCCGGGGCU
rnacentral:rRNA from 1 species